rnacentral:lncRNA from 1 species
CUGCCACUCGACUGCUGUUCCCCUCUUGCUCUCUCCCUUGCCCUCACGGCGGCGGCGGCCGGCCAUCGCUCGCUUUUCUCCGCCGUCGACGACCAGUCCCCUUCCUCCUCCAUCGCCCCUCUCCUGCGGAUCGGAAAUGAUUUCUCCUCGUCCCGAUUUGACCUCUGGUUCAACCGAUAUGAAGCAAGCGGCGGCCGCGCCCGCGAAGAGCACCGGUUCGUGCGAGGAUGCUGGCCAAGAGAGAUCAAGGAGGAGAUAGCUGGCGGUCACUGCGGCGGAGUGAAUCUGCCUGGAACUUGUUCGUUCUUGAUGUCAUUCUCAAGAGCACUGCAUCUAGGCAGUGGAUUUUGCUUGGAUCCGCUUGUGCUUUGACUCCGGUCUGAUGGUAUUUGGUUAAAAAAUGUCAGGUCUACUUUCUUCCCUUUCCCUUACCUCAAAUGAUUCUCUUAUGGUUUGUGGCUGGAAUGGAGCAAUCGAUUUGGUAAAAAAUGUCACUCAGUGCAAGCUACAAGACUUGGCCUUGUGCUGCUGGAGCAGAGGAACUCCUAUUAUCUAUCCUACUGUUUUUUGGGUUGCACAAUUGGAACUGUCAAAGAUGGGAGGAUGUGUUGGUUGAUGUUCUAAUGCUAUCUGAUCAUUUUCUUCUCCAAUGAGAAAAAAAAAUGAAGCUGGCAUUGCAACUCCUGCAAUAUAAAUCUGGGCAACCGUUCAGCCUUCAUAUAUCAUAAUGUGUUCCCAGAUUUCGAAUGAUAUGUUACACAUGAACUGAUUAGGAUGGCUAGGAGAAAUUUGGUUCUUUCUCCAGAUGACGCAGUAACGAUGUAAUGACCUGAUAAGCAUGUACUUAUACAACAGCCAAGUAGAAAAUUGCAUUUCAUUGUUCAUAACAACUGAUUUGGUAAACAUUUUGUGGACCU